rnacentral:tRNA from 1 species
UCCCUGGUGGUCCAGUGGCUAAGGCUUCCUACUCCCAGUGCAGGGGGCCCAGGUUCAAUCCCUGGUCGGGGAA